CAAAGGCAUGGUCCCAACCUUAUUAUCAGCUUUAACCUAACUUACACAUGCAAGUCUCCGCAACCCUGUGAGCAAACCCUUAAUCCCCCUGUUAGGGUGCAAGGAGUGGGCAUCAGGCACAACUUUUAAGCCCAAGACGCCUAGCUUAGCCACGCCCCCAAGGGUAUUCAGCAGUGAUAAACAUUAAGCCAUAAGUGAAAACUUGACUAAGCCAGGGUUAAGAGGGCCGGUAAAACUCGUGCCAGCCACCGCGGUUAGACGAGAGACCCUAGUUGACUAUAUAACGGCGUAAAGGGUGGUUUAAGAUUAAACAAAAUAAAGCAAAAUGGCCCUUUAGCAGUUAUACGUUUAUUUAGGCGUCCGAGACUCUAUUACGAAAGUAGCUUUAAUUAAUUUACCUGACCCCACGAAAGCUGAGGAACAAACUGGGAUUAGAUACCCCACUAUGCCCAGCCAUAAACCCAGACAUCCGAAUACAAUAGAUGUCCGCCAGGGUAUUACGAGCACGUAGCUUAAAACCCAAAGGACUUGACGGUGUCUCAGACCCCCCUAGAGGAGCCUGUUCUAGAACCGAUAACCCCCGUUAAACCUCACCACCUCUAGCCACCCCAGUCUAUAUACCGCCGUCGCAAGCUUACCCUGUGAAGGUAAAAAUAGUAAGCAAAAUGAGUAUAACCCAAAACGUCAGGUCGAGGUGUAGCGCAUGAGAUGGAAAGAAAUGGGCUACAUUUUCUAUUACAGAAUAUUACGAACGUGCACCAUGAAACAGUGCUUGAAGGAGGAUUUAGUAGUAAAAAGGAAACAGAGUGUCCCUUUGAACCCGGCUCUGAGACGCGUACACACCGCCCGUCACUCUCCCCUGUCAUAGUCGUACCAAAAAUAAUUAAUUAGAUAGCGCCGACGAGGGGAGGCAAGUCGUAACACGGUAAGUGUACCGGAAGGUGCACUUGGAAUAAAC
rnacentral:ncRNA from 1 species